AUACGUAGGGAGCGAGCGUUACCCGGAAUUACUGGGCGUAAAGUGCGCGUAGGCGGCUUGGUAAGUCCCUUUUGAAAGCUCCCGGCUUAACUGGGAGAGGUGAGGGGAUACUACUUGGCUUGAGGACAGCAGAGGAAAGCGGAAUUCUCGGUGUAGCGGUGAAAUGCGUAGAUAUCGAGAGGAACACCAGUGGCGAAGGCGGCUUUCUGGGCUGCAACUGACGCUGAGGCGCGAGAGCGUGGGGAGCAAACAGGAUUAGAUACCCCGGUAGUCC
rnacentral:rRNA from 1 species